UACAGAGGUGGCAAGCGUUGUUCAGAAUUACUGGGCGUAAAGGGCGCGUAGGCGGUCUUGCAAGUCCUGUGUGAAAUCCCUCGGCUCAACUGAGGAACUGCACAGGAAACUGCUUGGCUUGAGUUCGGGAGAGGGAAGCGGAAUUCCGGGUGUAGCGGUGAAAUGCGUAGAUAUCCGGAGGAACACCGGUGGCGAAGGCGGCUUCCUGGACCGACACUGACGCUGAGGCGCGAAAGCUAGGGGAGCAAACGGG
rnacentral:rRNA from 1 species